AAGGGAGGCCUAAUUCGGGUAGAAGACGAAAAAAUAGUAGUCGAAACCAAGAAUCAAUCCCAAAAGGUCGGAACGAGGUAUGUGGCUUUCAAACUAGGUUCUGGGUUCACAAAAGACCUGAAUCAGGAACAAGGGCUAUUAGCUCAGGUGGUUAGAGCGCACCCCUGAUAAGGGUGAGGUCCCUGGUUCGAGUCCAGGAUGGCCCACCUGCACAGGUGGCAAAAACAAGAGAAACGAGGAAUCAGCACCUUAUCUUACUUACAUAGUAAGAGAGAAUGCUGGCUCUGAGUAAAGAGUCCAGAGGAACCUUGAAAACUGCAUAGAGCUAGGUGAAAAAGCCAAAAAAGAAGACCGCAA
rnacentral:tRNA from 1 species